rnacentral:rRNA from 1 species
UUCCGGUUGAUCCUGCCGGACCUGACUGCUAUCGGAUUGGUACUAAGCCAUGCGAGUCAUUGUAGCAAUACAAGGCGGACGGCUCAGUAACACGUAGUCAACCUAACUCGUGGACGUGGAUAACCUCGGGAAACUGAGAAUAAACCACGAUAGAUCAUAGUGCCUGGAAUGGCUUAUGGUCCAAACAGUUUACUGCCAUGGGAUGGGACUGCGGCCUAUCAGCUUGUUGGUGAGGUAAUGGCCCACCAAGGCGAUUACAGGUACGGGCUCUGAGAGGAGAAGCCCGGAGAUGGGUACUGAGACACGGACCCAGGCCCUAUGGGGCGCAGCAGGCGAGAAACCUUAGCAAUGUGCGAAAGCACGACUGGGUCAGUCCGAGUGAUUCCUGAUAAAGGAGUCUUUUGCUUGUCCUAAAAGCACAGGUGAAUAAGGGGUGGGCAAGUCUGGUGUCAGCCGCCGCGGUAAUACCAGCACCUCAAGUGGUCAGGACGUUUAUUGGGCCUAAAGCAUCCGUAGCCGGCUCUGCAAGUCUUCGGUUAAAUCCACCUGCUCAACAGAUGGGCUGCUGGAGAUACUACAGAGCUAGGGAGUGGGAGAGGCAGACGGUAUUCAGUGGGUAGGGGUAAAAUCCUCUGAUCCAUUGAGGACCACCAGUGGCGAAGGCGGUCUGCCAGAACACGUUCGACGGUGAGGGAUGAAAGCUGGGGGAGCAAACCGGAUUAGAUACCCGGGUAGUCCCAGCUGUAAACGAUGCUAGCUAGAUGAUUCAUUCG